GAGAGAGAGAGAGAGAGAGAGAGAGAGAGAGAGAGAGACGGAGGGAGAGGGAGAGAACCAGAGAAGACCAAUGUGAACAGUGUAUGGAACCCGCCAUCAAGUCUUUUUGG